rnacentral:rRNA from 1 species
CACGUAGGGGGCAAGCGUUGUCCGGAUUUAUUGGGCGUAAAGAGCGUGUAGGCGGUCAGGUAGGUCCGUUGUGAAAACUCGAGGCUCAACCUCGAGACGCCGAUGGAAACCAUCUGACUAGAGUCCGGAAGAGGAGAGUGGAAUUCCUGGUGUAGCGGUGAAAUGCGCAGAUAUCAGGAAGAACACCCGUGGCUAAGGCGGCUCUCUAGUACGGUACUGACGCUGAGACGCGAAAGCGUGGGGAGCGAACAGG